rnacentral:lncRNA from 1 species
UAAGAGAAAUCGAUGUCUGUAACGCUUGUAACCAUUUUCAUCAUCUGACUAUUCCAGUGUCCUUCAGCAGCUCUGUCAACCUGUGUCACCUAGGAGGAGAGUAGAUGGGAUUUCAGUGUGAAACAUGGAAAAGGACAGGAAAGCAGGAUCAAGGAAAAACAGCAAUUUCUGCAGAAAAGAUACCGGGGAGUGGUUUGAAAAAACAUUUUACCUGACCAGUCAUUUCUACGUUGAAGAACGUGCGUUGUGAGGCGAUUCAUAAGUGACCGGUGCAGCUGUCAAACUUCCACUGGUCAGCACUGCCCUGUAGGCAAAAAUUUCUUCAUAUUACGCAGCCAGUAUAAUCAGGUAAGCGUGAAGGUUCCAGGUUGUGUUGAGUACAUUUGAGAAAAAUAGCAGGAUGCCAGCUGAAACACCGGGCUGGCUGUUGAUUAAAACAGAAACACCUAUAGGUGUCUUUGCCAACAUGUAUUUCAGAAAGCAAAGACAACUGAAGUAGGAUAGCUGUUGGGGAAGAUAAACUUGACUUAGUAGGUAUGYUGAAAUGAUGGGAUCCUGAAAAUCAAUAGGAUACUCUAUUACCCAGGUUUAAGCUUUAUUGGGAAGACAAAUUAGGCUGUAAGGGUAAUUGAGUUGCUCUGUGCCCACAAAUAUACAUUAAGUUAGCAUUUCUGAAGUAUAGAACUGAGAGUGAAUUAAUGAAAUUGAAAGGCAACGUGUUUAAAAUCCAUAUAAGAAGGGGGGUUUUUUUGUUUUUUUUUUAAAGUAUAUGGCAUGAUGGAAUUGUGAAAUUCACUGCUACAAGAUAACAUUGAAGUCAAAAGCCUUAAAGAAUUUGUAGGAGAAUUAAAGAUAGAUGUGGUUAAUGAGACCAUCUAGUGGUACACUUAACAGGAUGAAGAAAAUGCAAAAAAUGCAAACCUGCCACUGACUUGCGGGAGUUGGAAGAAACUUCCACCAAAGAAUUGGAUUAUCCUUUGUGAGGUUUCCUGCAACAACCUCUAAAGCAUCUGGUUCCUUCCACCUUCAGGCCAUUUCUACCCUUAUACUUCUGAGAGUAC